UACGUAGGGGGGCUAGCGUUGUCCGGAUUUAUUGGGCGUAAAGAGCGUGUAGGCGGCCAGAUAGGUCUGCUGUGAAAACUCGAGGCUCAACCUCGAGCUGUCGGCGGAAACCAUCCGGCUAGAGUCCGGAAGAGGAGAGUGGAAUUCCCGGUGUAGCGGUGAAAUGCGCAGAUAUCGGGAAGAACACCUGUGGCGAAGGCGGCUCUCUGGGACGGUACUGACGCUGAGACGCGAAAGCGUGGGGAGCAAACAGG
rnacentral:rRNA from 1 species